CCCCUAGGUACCCCAAUGGCAUCUAUGUAAAUGUGGGGGUCAAAACUGCCUUUUACUGGGGUUUCACGCUUAAUCCUAGCUAACGUCUGUGGGGAAUCGUGGGUGCCGGGAUGAUUGUCAGAAAUAAUGUGGAUGGGCAUAAUAACCUUGGCCAAGGUACACUCCCCCCACCAGUCAGUCUCCAGUCUGGAUCUUAACUGCAAGUCCCCA